rnacentral:rRNA from 1 species
AUACGGAGGGUGCAAGCGUUAAUCGGAAUUACUGGGCGUAAAGCGCGCGUAGGCGGUUUAGUCAGUCAGAUGUGAAAGCCCCGGGCUCAACCUGGGAACUGCAUUUGAUACUGCUGAACUAGAGUAUGGUAGAGGGAAGUGGAAUUCCGGGUGUAGCGGUGAAAUGCGUAGAUAUCCGGAGGAACACCAGUGGCGAAGGCGACUUCCUGGACCAAUACUGACGCUGAGGUGCGAAAGCGUGGGUAGCAAACAGGAUUAGAAACCCCGGUAGUCC